GUGGAAGCUCACGUCUCCUCCUCCACCUCCCCCAAAUUUCGUCUCCGGCCACGACACCUCACCCGCUUACUCCGCGACGGACUCUUUGACUCCGAGCUCGCUAUCCUUAAACCUAGUCUUUUACAUAGAUACCUCACCCCUUCACCUUAAAAUCAGAGUAACAAAUACCAAAUGUUCACUUCUCUGUCUUCCUCGUUACCCAACCUCGUCUUCUCGCCCUUUCCUGACCGAACCAGAACCCCAAACCUUCUUCUUCCCCGCGCCCAAUUCGCUUCCCUUUCUACCCACAAACCGUUUCUUCGUGGGUCGGCCUGUGUCGCUCGUUUCUGGUUCAAGCCCGGUCUGUUUCCGGACGGGGAUGGCGCGGCUGAGGGGGUGAUUACGGACUUGUUUAGUAGGGCUGAGAGUAUUCUUUAUACGAUUGCUGAUGCUGCUGUAUCAAAUUUGGAUACAGUUACCGCUACAACCAAACAGAACAAUGAUUGGCUCUCUGGUAUUACCUAUUAUAUGGAAAGUGUUUUAAAGGUCUUAAAAGAUGGGUUAUCUGUUUUGCAUGUUCCUUAUGCUUAUGGGUUCGCUAUUAUACUUCUAACUGUUCUUGUUAAAGCUGCCACGUUUCCUUUGACUAAGAAGCAGGUAGAAUCUGCAAUGGCUAUGCGAUCCUUGCAGCCUCAGAUAAAGGCUAUUCAGCAACGGUAUCCUGGAGAUCAGGAGAGAAUUCAACUUGAGACAGCCAGAUUGUAUAAACUAGCUGGCAUAAACCCAUUUGCAGGAUGCCUACCUACUCUUGCCACAAUACCUGUGUGGAUUGGACUAUAUAGAGCCCUUUCGAAUGUAGCAGAUGAGGGACUUCUUACUGAAGGAUUCUUUUGGAUACCAUCCCUUGCUGGUCCAACUACAAUUGCAGCUCGUCAAAAUGGCAGUGGCAUCUCUUGGCUGUUCCCUUUUGUUGAUGGACAUCCACCUCUUGGGUGGUCUGAUACCUUGGCAUAUCUUGUCUUGCCAGUAUUGCUGGUUGUUUCACAAUACAUCUCUGUUCAAAUCAUGCAAUCAUCACAGGUAAGUCAUUUCCCAAAUGUGAAUUUACUCCUCUAUAUGUAUACUCAACUAAUUUGUUGUACCAAUAGUUCAGGUCUGUCGGAUAUUUUUUUCUUCCAAUUUUUCCUUAUUUGUGUAGAUGCCAUUUUUUUAACUAUAGGCUAUGAUAUCCCAACCUUUUAGCAAAUUAGAACUUUGUUAGAGCCUAUGUGUGUCAAGUCAAAAGACAACUGAACUGGUGCAGUCAUUUGUGACACAACUGAACACUAUUGUAAAUUUUUUUCUCGUGAAUGAUAUGACAAGUUAUUUAUUUGUUUUUAAUUUUUAAUCCAACCAAGAAAGUGGUGUUAACAUGGACCAGGAAAAAUCAUUAUAUUUUAUCAAAGCAUUGUGUUUUGACUGACUUGUUUCUUCUACGCAUUUUAAGGAACUUAGUAUGUACCCAGCCCACGAGCUAAAGCCUCAAGUUGGAAUGGGUUUGGGUGAAGAAAAUAGAACAUGUCUAUCUGAUUUUGCCAACUUGUUUCUCUUUUUUCAUCAAGUUUCUCGAUGAUAGUGUAAGCUUUAGAUUUUUGUGGUUUGCAAAAUACUAAUUUGGUGCCAGAAUCCAUUACAUUUUCAUCUUUUAGCACUUGUUAUUUUUUGCAGACAAAUGAUCCAAACAUGAAGAGUUCUCAAGCAAUAACGAAGAUCCUUCCACUAAUGAUUGGUUAUUUUUCUCUUUCAGUUCCUUCUGGUCUAAGCCUUUAUUGGUUCACAAAUAACAUAUUGAGCACAGUGCAACAGGUGUGGCUUCAGAAGUUGGGAGGUGCAAAGAAUCCUGUGAGCCAAGAAGACCAACUCUGGAUUCAGAAGUCAGUCUCUGAAUUAAAUUCCACAAAAACAAAGGCUGGACAAGUUGAAAAAUUGACACCAGAAGAUUCCACAAAAACUAAGGCUGGACAAGUUGAAAAUUUGACACCAGAAGGGUUACGUCCUGGCGAAAGAUUUAAACAGCUAAAGGAGCAAGAGGCCAAAAGAAGACAACAAAGAGAAGAAGAGAAGAGGAAAGCUGAAGAGGCUGCUGCAAAAAGUAGUUCAAUAGUAAAUGGUAGUCCUGAAAAUGCAUCUGAUAUGGAUAAUGGAGCAAGCAUGGCUAGUGCUGAUGUAGUUGACGAGAAGUCUGCAAACAGCAUUAACAAUUCCUCUACUGUUGGAGUUGUAAAAGUUGAUUUAUCUGGGCAGAACCUUAAGAAAGAUGAAAAGAAAACUUCAAUUUUGAGUACGGAAAAAGGUGAAGUUUCCAAUUCUGAGGCCUCUGGAAGGGUUGAACAUCAGUCCUAUGAAAAUAAACAAAAGGAAGUAGAAGCACAUGGUAGCAUGAUAACAGAUAGCAAACUUUCUGAAGAAGACGUGCAUCAAGCCACAAGGGAGCGAUGAAAGAGGGGUAUGGCCACUAUAGUGGUAUUCCAAAUGAAGCAAGAUUAACAGGCAUUAUUGUUUACACGUUAUGUUGAAUGUGGAGAGCAAGGUUUUGUAUCCUUCUUGCUAAAAGGAGCAUGUGAGCAAGCAGCCUUCACUUGUAUCUCUUUUAUUUUCUGAUUGGUGACCUCUCUGAGGCAUAUUGGGUGUAAAGGAUUGGUAGAAUGGUUAAAUCAGUAGAAAUUUUGGGGCAUCCCAUUUGAUAGGAGAUUUUUUUUUUAAGUGGUCUGUAUCAAAGGCAAUUUUAUGUACUUUCAGAUUCUUGGAAACAAAAUUCACUGUACAAGUAGAACAAUAGGAGUUAAUCUUUUUUUCAUCUUUUAGAAGAAGAGAAGAAAUAAUGAAUUAUGUGGAGAAAUUUCACAAAUUAGUUUUUGCACUUAUUUUUUUAGGCAUAUCAUGCAGAAGCUCUUGCAUAUUAUCAUAGAAAGUUGAUUUUGCUGCAUGUUGUAUAAGAAUAAUGGACUAUUUUCAUAUGAUAUUUUAGUUAUAUGAUUGCUUGUCACCAGAGUGAGGUGACAGGAAG
rnacentral:misc_RNA from 1 species